rnacentral:rRNA from 1 species
UAGGGAAUCUUCCGCAAUGGACGCAAGUCUGACGGAGCAACGCCGCGUGCGUGAAGAAGGAUCUCGGUUCGUAAAACUCUGUUGUUAGAGAAGAACAGCGCAUAGAGUAACUGUUAUGCGUGUGACGGUAUCUAACCAGAAAGCCACGGCUAACUACGUGCCAGCAGCCGCGGUAAUACGUAGUUGGCAAGCGUUGUCCGGAUUUAUUGGGCGUAAAGCGAGCGCAGGCGGUCAAUUAAGUCUGAUGUGAAAGCCCCCGGCUCAACCGGGGAGGGUCAUUGGAAACUGGUUGACUUGAGUGCAGAAGAGGAGAGUGGAAUUCCAUGUGUAGCGGUGAAAUGCGUAGAUAUAUGUAGGAACACCAGUUGCGAAGGCGACUCUCUGGUCUGUAACUGACGCGGAGGUUCGAAAGCGUGGGUAGCAAACAGG